AACUCUUUAGCAAAGUUAAUGUGUUAAGCUUAGAACUUAAAGAAAGGAUAAUAUCCUAAGAGUUA